rnacentral:rRNA from 1 species
CGGAACGUGCCCAGUCGUGGGGGAUAACGUAGAGAAAUUUACGCUAAUACCGCAUACGAUCUACGGAUGAAAGCGGGGGAUCGCAAGACCUCGCGCGAUUGGAGCGGCUGAUAUCAGAUUAGGUUGUUGGUGAGGUAAAAGCUCACCAAGCCGACGAUCUGUAGCUGGUUUGAGAGAACGACCAGCCACACUGGGGCUGAGACACGGCCCAGACUCCUACGGGAGGCAGCAGUGGGGAAUUUUGGACAAUGGGCGAAAGCCUGAUCCAGCAAUGCCGCGUGCAGGAAGAAGGCCUUCGGGUUGUAAACUGCUUUUGUACGGAACGAAAAGGUCUUUUCUAAUAAAGAAGGCUUAUGACGGUACCGUAAGAAUAAGCACCGGCUAACUACGUGCCAGCAGCCGCGGUAAUACGUAGGGUGCGAGCGUUAAUCGGAAUUACUGGGCGUAAAGCGUGCGCAGGCGGUUCUAUAAGACAGAUGUGAAAUCCCCGGGCUCAACCUGGGAAUGGCAUUUGUGACUGUAGAGCUAGAGUACGGUAGAGGGGGAUGGAAUUCCGCGUGUAGCAGUGAAAUGCGUAGAUAUGCGGAGGAACACCGAUGGCGAAGGCAAUCCCCUGGACCUGUACUGACGCUCAUGCACGAAAGCGUGGGGAGCAAACAGGAUUAGAUACCCUGGUAGUCCACGCCCUAAACGAUGUCAACUGGUUGUUGGGUGCAUUAGUACUCAGUAACGAAGCUAACGCG